CGCGGGGUGGAGCAGUCUGGUAGCUCGUCGGGCUCAUAACCCGGAGGCCGCAGGUUCAAAUCCUGCCCCCGCAACCA
rnacentral:tRNA from 3 species